GAAGUCAGAAAUUAAGAUGAAGCAUAUUGAAAAAACUCGACAUUGUUUUGGCCUGGAGAUCGAGCAUUGUUUAGAUGGAAAUCUUGUUCAGCAGUAGAACUACACCCCUAAGGUGUUGCGUCGUUUUAAUGAGGAUAAAGCAGUUUAUGGGCAUCUAAAUGCUAGAUUCCAAAUGAGAUCAUUUCCAUCCUAAAGAGGAUCAGGAAGAGACUUUGGAGCCUAAAGUUCCAUCGACGCUUUAUUGUACUUAGCUCAGUGCACUAAACUGAACAUCUCAUCUUUAAUAUUAGAAAGCUAGAAGGAAAGUUUGGUGUCUUAAAGCUUCACCAAAAAUAAUUGGACUAUAAAGCCCCCCAAACAAAAAAAAAUCCACAACUAGCUGAAAAUAAUAAAAACAAAAUAGCAAGGAUACUUUUGUCAAAAAAAAAAAAUAUAUGUUAAACAAAAAGGGAAUUAAAAAUUAGAAAAAAAAAGAAAAAGAAAAGAGAAGAUAAAAACCCACGACCCAUUCUUCUUCCUCUCCGUCUCUCUACACACACAACCCCUUCCAUAUUUUCCUCAAUACAACCGCUCCACUUACUUCAGUUUUUUAUUUUUUUAAUCAAGGAUAGUUUUAUUAAAAUUAGCCAAACGACAUAGGUUUUGCAUCAGCUGAAGAUUUUGCUUCCUUGCAUAUCUAGAGAGAAAAAAAAGUAGAACCUGGCAUUCAAACCUCCAGGUUGUGCAGAAAAAACAAACUGGAGAAGAUGGAGUUUAGAACAUGGAAUAGACACAGUUAUCGGAAGAAAGUUUACCUUUUUAUUCCAAGUUUACGGUUAUCAGAAGAGAGUUUACCAUUUUAGUUUUUCUACUGCAAAAUCUGCAAUGGUUUUAUGAGGGAGAACGAGGACGACGCAAUUCAAUCUCCAUCCACCUUUUUACAGGUACGCUAAGUUUCUUCAAUUUCUGAAUUUUAUCUCUACAUUUCAAUCUAAAAUAUCGGACAAUAAUUCAUAUGUGUAUUAUCGUAAACAUUCCGGAAUCUAUUGCUUAAUUUAUAUUUUUCUUAUGGAAUUUAAUGUGAUUUCGACGAAUAGGGAGGAACAGUUGGAUAAUUAUCCUCCUAUUUUGAAAAAUAAGAAAUAAUUAUCCUCCCAAACUGAGCGGUUAUAAUUAUAACACGUUUAAAAAAAAAAAUUGCAGCUCAAAUUUGAAACUGCAAUUAGCAGUUGCAAUUGGUUUUAUUCCUUUCCCGCAAAAACUAAAUCGUCUUCACUCUCAGGUAUGUUACUUUGAUGUUUGAUUUAUUUUUAAUUUCCCUUUUUUUAUUAACUCCAGAUUUGAUCAAAUAUAUAGGUUGAUUGGUGAAUCCCCAGUGAUCGAUGCGUUUUCAAUAUAUGAGUUGGUGGUUUCAUUCUUUUGGGUAACUUCGUUUAAUUCUUUUUUCCUCCUGUCCAUGAAUUAAUUUUAAUUAAUUUAGUUGUAAUCAGUUUUGAAGUUUGUUUCAUAGGGAAAAUAUGGAAGAAGGAAGAGAAAUAGCGGAAAAAGAGGGGAACAAAAAUAGUUUUGAGUCAUCCUGUUCUAUUUUGGUUAACAUAGUUUCAUCCCUUUUUGUUUUUCCUUCUAUCUAUGGUUUUGUUUUUAACUAAUUUAAACAAAAUGAUCAUUAAAGUUUGAACCUUUUCUAUUUCUUAUAGAUGUGGACCUCAAGAGUGGAGCAGAAGAGGUCUUGAUCAUGUUUUUUUUUUCUCUUCAUUUAGAUGGUUGAUCUACUCUCUUAUUUGGUGCUCAAACUUUUUUAUCUGCUUCUAUUUCCUAUGCAUAAUUUUUUAUAGACAAUUGGUGGACGAUGUUUUGACAAGACAGCAGUUGUCAGGUAGGACGAUGAUCUAUGCUUUAUUUUAUGGGCAUGCCCAUUUUCUUAACAAGUCUCUCAUAUUUUCCAUUCUAUUUUUCCUAUUUUUCAAUUCACGCUCUUCUCUUUCUCACUCUUCACCUGUAGAGCCGUCAGGUGUGUCAAAGUGGUUGGAUGUGUUUAAUGUGAAAGAACUGGCGUGGUCUAAGAGGCUACGUGAAGCGUAUAUUUCUAUUUUCUUUUUCUUCCAUGUUUCAUUUAUUUAUUGGUGAUCCAAUGAUACUUUGUGCUUCUUCCAUUUUGGAAGAAAAAUGUUACAAUUGCUUUAUUCUGUAAUGGUUUGAAGGCUCUACAGAUGUCCAUAAUUGUUUAUGUAAUGUUUAGUUUAUCUUAAUAUUGUAAUCUACGAUCAAACCUAUAUUUCUAAUAUGAACACUAUAUCAGAGAAGGGAUUUUUAUUUUCUUACUUUGUAUUCAGAGGGAACAAAGAAAAACCAUGGGAAGACAUCUACAGUCGGUCCAAGAACAGUGAUUAUAGAAUUUGGGUUCAACUUCUUCUUAUUUCCUAUAAUCAGUUUAACUUCUUAUUUCCUUAUAUUCAGUUGGAUUUCCUCUUCGUUGGGGUUGAUUAUAGAAUUUGGGUUUGUUCAUUUGGUGUUUUAAGUAUUCGCGAGAGUGUUUGCUUAUUUUUUAGGGUGAUAUCCUUAUUGUGUUGCUUUUUACUUGGACCAAAAUAAAGAAAGAGACUUGAAACCCUUGCUUUCUGUAAGUUCUUUUAUGAAAGGGGAAAAGUACAGGUAGCACUACUUCUCCUUUUAUUUGAAUAGGAGUGAGGAGACAAGAAUGCAUAUGCACUACAAAAAAAAAAAAUGGUCUAUGAACACAAUUCAUUGGUGCCCUUUUCAAUUUCAUUGAGCACAUAUAUGUAUUUGUGCUUUUAUGUUUCAUUGAGCACAAAAUUAUCUCAAAUUGAUGAAGUAAACAUGUUCUUUAUCUGAGUAUGCUUUGUCUAUUGUUGUUACUUCAUGUUUCGAUUUUACGUUGUUUAAAAUAUUGUUCAACGAAGAGUUGCUUGGCUAUUAAUUAGUGUAAGAUUAAGAGGAAUGUAGUUUAUCAUACUCAAGAGUGCAGGUAAUAUUCUAUGAUUUGGCAUAAUUUUGUAUGUAAUUGAUUCUUCUUCUCUAAUAAUCUUCCCCUAUUUCCUUUUGUUCUGUAUAUAAUGGAUCGUCUUAAAUUUACAGGUUCAUCGCUCAUUCAGGCUGCAAAGGAUUUGAUUACUUUCUUUUUAGGAAUAUGAACUGGAACAACUUCAAAGUUCGGGUGUAAUUAUUUGUCUUAUCAAGUAAAUAAUUGUAUCUUAUCGGUUUGUUUUU